GACUUUUGUUGAGCAAUUUCAUGGUCGGUAGAUGUGUUUCUAACUCGCUGUUAAACAUAAUAGGAUAUCAACGUGUCCAAGAUGUCGAAUUUGAUGUUAAUGAUCCCUUGUUUAUUCUUUGUUGUAAGGCUCUUUGGUGAAGCAAAGGCGGGCGGUCCUUAUCCGAUGCCAGAGACAUCAACCCCAUCUACCACCCCACCUACGACUGCUGCACCAUUAGCAACGAUUCAAAGGUCAAACCAAGAACCAGAUAUAAUAAUCGGGUUGUCUGUGUCUGUCUUUGGUCUGAUUUCCUUCCUUGUUGCUGUCGGCGUUGUGACUAAAAUAUGCAAUGAUAAAAAACGCCCUAAGCAGUAUCAGGACGCUCGUGACAGCUUUCGUUUUUGAAAAAAAAACAAGGUUCUGUUCAAGCAUGAGUACAAACAGUUUUUGACACUACUGCAAAUAUUAUGCACUAACGCUGAAUGUUCAAUGCAUUGUGAUAUUAAGAACAAUUAAUAAGAAUAAUUUAAGAUUUUGUUUAUUUAUUUUGGCUUGGAAGCAUUUUGUUUUCGAAUACUAUUUCAAAUUCUUAAUAUGUAUAUUAUUUUAAGUUAAGUGAGUGAUCUAUUCAACAAAUAAUUUUUAAAAUGAUUAAAACAAUGAUGUCACGAUUCCCUGUCAUAGGGAAAUAAUUGAUAUAUGUAUAGAUUUGGUAUGUUUCACAUUUGUAUUGAUGAUUUACUUUUUUAUUGCUUUCUUUGACAUGUUCUUGUAGAUUCGACCUGUCCAUUACAUACCUUGCCCUUACACGGAUUGUAAAUAAAAGUUAACAAUAUGAAAACAUCUUUUCAUGUAAAUGUAGAAAUAAGGUGGUGAAGCCUUUGUAUUGCUCUAACGUAAACAAGCAUAUAUUUCGAAGUAGUUUCAUUUAAAGCUUGUUUUCCCAUUGCUUACUUUAUAACAUUACAUUACAUUGUGCGAAUCUGAAAAUGAUGCCACCCCUACCCCACCCUCCAGGUUACUUUUCAAGCCACUGAAAAAUUCAAAGUGAAUACAUGCUGGCCGUCGUAUCUCUGAAAAGAAUUUAUAUUUAUCUUAAAAACCCGGAUUACUUUGGCAGCCCAGCAUAUUUCAUGUCUGGUGAUAUCCUCGGCAAACAUUACAUGGCUGCGAGUGAAGUGGAAGUGUCAUCCAUAUCUAUAGACGAUGUGAACGUAACUGGAAUAUGUAAAGAAUAUAUAAAUGCUCUUUCAAUGGAACAUCUGGGCUUUCUCUGCCUUGUAAAGAACUUAACUACAUGACGCCCUUAUUUAUCAGGUGAAAUAAUAGAACGCAUGUGGAGGCAAUUAAAUAAUAAUCUUCAAUGCCAUUUCAACAGUUGAAUGUGGCUAACAUUUCUGGGACUUAACUACUUAAAACCCUUAUUAAACAGAGGGAAUACAACGCAUGUUGAUGCAAUUUAAUGAUGAUAUUACAUCCUCAAGUAAGAAAUCUUAAAUUUAAUGAAGUCUGAAAAUGUAGUAUGUAUAUGAUGAAAUUAGAUUUUGAUGUGUAAAUAUCGAUAGCUUUGGAUUAAAAUCUCUCUUUCAAUGGUAAGGGACAAAUAU
rnacentral:sRNA from 1 species